rnacentral:rRNA from 1 species
UGGGGAAUUUUGGACAAUGGGCGAAAGCCUGAUCCGGCAAUGCCGCGUGUGUGAAGAAGGCCUUCUGGUUGUAAAGCACUUUUGUCCGGAAAGAAAUCCUUGGCUCUAAUACAGUCGGGGGAUGACGGUACCGGAAGAAUAAGCACCGGCUAACUACGUGCCAGCAGCCGCGGUAAUACGUAGGGUGCAAGCGUUAAUCGGAAUUACUGGGCGUAAAGCGUGCGCAGGCGGUUUGCUAAGACCGAUGUGAAAUCCCCGGGCUCAACCUGGGAACUGCAUUGGUGACUGGCAGGCUAGAGUAUGGCAGAGGGGGGUAGAAUUCCACGUGUAGCAGUGAAAUGCGUAGAGAUGUGGAGGAAUACCGAUGGCGAAGGCAGCCCCCUGGGCCAAUACUGACGCUCAUGCACGAAAGCGUGGGGAGCAAACAGGAUUAGAUACCCUGGUAGUCCACGCCCUAAACGAUGUCAACUAGUUGUUGGGGAUUCAUUUCCUUAGUAACGUAGCUAACGCGUGAAGUUGACCGCCUGGGGAGUACGGUCGCAAGAUUAAAACUCAAAUGAAUUGACGGGGUCAUAGCUGUUUCCU